CAGGCACUAACAUUUAUGAAGCGCCUACCAUGUACUGGGCAUUGUGUUAACUUAAAAAUUCAAUUAACAUUAUUUUCAUUUUUUUUUUUUUGACACAGGGUCUGGUUCUGUUGCCCAGGCUGGAGUGCAGUGGCACAAUUUUGGCUCACUGCAACCUCUGCCUCCUGGGCUCAAGCGAUUCUCCUGCCUCACCCUCCCGACCAGCUGGGACUUUAGGCGUGCACCACCAUGCCUGGAUAAUUUUUGUGUUGUUCUGUAAAGAUGGGGUUUCAUUAUGUUGCCCAGGCUGGUCUCAAACUCCUGAGAUCAAGCGAUCCACCCACCUUGGCCUCCCAAAAUGCUGGGAUUACAGGCAUGAGCCACUAUGUCCUGCCUCAAUUAAAAUUAAAAAUGUGUCAAGACCCUGGCUUCUGAUAUAGGUGCUGUAAUUAUCCCCAUUUUCAGAUGAGGAAAAUGAGGCACAAGGAGAAAGAGUUUUGUCCAUGGUCUCACAGCUAGCAAAUGGCAGAGCUGGAAUUUGAAUGCAGGCAGUAUAGUUAGUUCUAGGGCCAAUGCUCGUAGCCAUGUGCCAUCACACACUUCCCCCUGGUAUAGAAAGAACUUCAUCAUGUAAUCCCAACAUACUCUCCCCUCAAAAAAAUCUUGGACAUUUCUCCCCUCUGUAUUUCUCUCAACACUUUGAAGAUAUUGUUCCACUGAAUUCUAGCUUUCCAUCACCAGGCUGGAGUGCCGUGGCACAAUCUCAGCUCACUGCAGCCUCAGCCUCCCAGGCUUAAGCGAUCCUCCUGCCUCAGCCUCCCCAGUAACUUGGACUACAGAUGUAUACCACCACAGCUAGCUAAUUUUUUGUGUUUUUUGUAGAGACGAGGUUUUGCCAUGUUGCCCAGGCUGGUCUCGAACUCCUGAACUCAAGCCAUCUGCCUGCCUUGGCCUCCCAAAGUUCUGGGAUUACAGGCAGGAGCCACUAUGCCCAGGCUUUUCUAUCUAUUAUAAUUCUAAGGACUAUGUCUCUGAUGCACUGCAGUUUCAUCACAAUGUGUCUAGAUACAGAUUUUUUAAAAUCCUGCUGAGUAGAGAUUGCACUGCUUCUAUUUAUGGAAUCAUAUCCUUCCUUUAUUUCUGCAAAAUUCUAGAUGAUUGAUUUUUUAAAAUUAUUUCCUCUUCCCAAUUUUUGUUAUAAUUUUUGCCUGUCUCUAAUUUUUAAAAUUCUAUCCUUCUGGAACUCCAAUUAAAUAAAUGUUAAACCUCCACAGUUAUUUUCCAUGUCUCUGAAUUUCUAUUUUAUUUUUUCUCCUUUUCCUCUGAAACUAAUUCUGAAUAAUUUCUCUAGACCUUUCUUCCAGUUCACUAAAUCUCCCUUUAACUAUGAAUAAUCUGAUGUUUCACUCAACCACUCCAUUUUUUAUUUUGACAAUUAUACUUACCUCUAAAAGUUUUAUUUGGUGCUUUUCUAAAAUCUGUCUGCGUAAUUACUUGUAAUUUAUUGCUGUUAUUGCAGACCUUUCUUGUGAUUACAUCUUUUAUUUCUUUAAAUCUGAUUCUUUUUAAAAAUCCCGUAUAUUAUAAUUACAGAAUCUAAAGUCUUUGUGGGUCUAAAUCAGAUGAUUAUUGUUUCUGCUGACUAUUGCCCAUGGUGUCUCAUUUCCUUGUGUGUUUGCUGAUCUUUGAUUGUGAAGUCAUGUUUGUUUGAUCUUACUCUGGGAAACCUAAGUGAACAUGCUUAUCCCUAGAGAGGAGCAGGAGUUGGUUAUUCUGGGACCCCUUGAGGGUCUCAGCCUAAUGGAGAAUUCUCAUGUUGAGUAACAUCCACCCUGCCCCUUGUCCAAGUUUUAGUCUCUUUGUUGAGUGUAGAAUUGAUACUGACGUCUGCUUUCAGGGAAAUCCUUCAUGGUCUCCUUGCUUUUUGUUUACCAUUCACUGUUAGGUUUUAGCUAAUGGUUUUUGUUUUUGUUUGAGAUGGAGUCUCACUCUGUCACCCAGGCUGGAGUGCAAUGGUGCAAUCUUGGCUCACUGCAAACUCCACCUCCCAGGUUCAAGCAAUUCUCAUGUCUCAGUCUCUCGAAUAGCAAGGAUUACAGGCACCUGCCACCAUGCCCAUCUAAUUUUUGUAUUUUCAGUAGAGUGGGUUUUCACCAUGUUGGCCAGGCUGGUCUCGAACUCCUGACCUCAACUGAUCCGCCAGCCUCGGCCUCCCAAAGUUCUGGGAUUACACACGUGAGCUAUUCCACCCAGUCUCAUGACUUGAGAUGGAAAAAAUACUGAGGGAUUUCCCGUUCUAUAAAGAAGUUUGGCCUGGCAUGGUGGUUCACACCUGUAAUCCCAAAAGUUUGGGAAGCCAAGGUGAGCUGAUCACCUGAGGUCAGGAGUUUGAGACCAGCCUGGCCAACAUGGCA
rnacentral:lncRNA from 10 species